GACGGGGGGGGCAAGUGUUCUUCGGAAUGACUGGGCGUAAAGGGCACGUAGGCGGUGAAUCGGGUUGAAAGUGAAAGUCGCCAAAAACUGGCGGAAUGCUCUCGAAACCAAUGAACUUGGGUGAGACAGAGGAGAGUGGAAUUUCGUGUGUAGGGGUGAAAUGCGUAGAUAUUGAGAAGAACACCAGUAGCGAAGGCGGCUUUCUGGACUGUAACUGACACUGAGGCACGAAAGCGUGGGUAGCAAACAGG
rnacentral:rRNA from 1 species